CAGCAUUGUAACGAACACCUGGCAAGGAAGGGAAGAACAAAUGAAAGAUUCAGGAAAGCUUUCUGGGCAUAUAGCAAUGCUUUGCCAGACAUUAUUCUCCUCAUUAUGAUACCAAUGGAAAUUCCCAUCAUCUAGAUUCUUCCUCUCACUUAUUUUAUCAAUGAGGGGCUCCAGAUUCAAGGGCUCUAACACAGGGAUCUGAGGAACACCUUUACCUGAUGACAAGAAUGCCCUGAGAAAGUUUCCGUGCCCUCUCCCGAAGUGGGUGGCUGUGGUGGUAUCGAUUGAGAGAGCCAUGCUGUGAGACAGAAGAGAAUAAAGCUAAAGAAUAAAUCACCACUGGUCAAUGCCCAGCCCAAUGUUCUCCAAAGACCACAGCUUUUGUAGGAAAAUGCCUGAAGGAAGUUUGGAAAAGCAUCACAUCAAUUCUGUUAUAGAGAUUACUAGUACUCUGGGAGGCUGAGGAAGUGCACCCCAUACAAAGACAAGCAGAUGCCAAGGUGAAACCUGGGGAAGAGUCCAGUAAUUUGGACCACCUUUUACACUUGAACAGUGUCAUCAUUCUAAGAUCCUCACGUUUGUAUCACAGAGUCACAGAUUCAGAACUGAAAGUAAUCUCACAGAUCACCCAGUCCAAACAUUUAAUUUUACAAAUAAAGAAACGUGAGGCCUAGGGUGGUGAAGGGAUAGGCCCAAAGUCUCACAGUGAACAAAUAACAGUUGUCUGCUAUGGGUGA